AUCGAACGCUGGCGGCAGGCCUAACACAUGCAAGUCGAGCGAGCGGCGGACGGGUGAGUAAUGUCUGGGAAACUGCCUGAUGGAGGGGGAUAACUACUGGAAACGGUAGCUAAUACCGCAUACCAUCAGAUGUGCCCCGAUGGGAUUAGCUAGUAGGUGGGGAAACGGCUCACCUAGGCGACGAUCCCUAGCUGGUCUGAGAGGAUGACCAGCCACAGUGGAACUGAGACACGGUCCAGACUCCUAGGGGAGGCGGCAGGGGGGAAUAUUGCACAAUGGGCACAAGCCUGAUGAAGCCAUGCGGCUUGUGUGAAGAAGGCCUUCGGGUUGUAAAGCACGUUCAGCGGGGAGGCGUUACCCGCAGAAGAAGCACCGGCUAACUCCGUGCCAGCCGCCGCGGUAAUAC
rnacentral:rRNA from 1 species